rnacentral:rRNA from 1 species
GACGAACGCUGGCGGCGUGCUUAACACCUGCAAGUUGAACGGUUUAUGGUGAUGAAGUGCCUUCGGGUAUGGAUAGCCAUAGGCAGUAGCGAACGGGUGAGUAAUGCGUGAGGACCUGCCCUGAGGAGGGGGACAGCAGUUGGAAACGGCUGGUGAUACCCCGUAUGCCGGGAGGUGUAAGGGCCUUUGUGGUCUGCCUUUGGAUGGACUCACGUCCUAUCAGCUAGUUGGUGAGGUAACGGCUCACCAAGGCGACGACGGGUAGCCGGCCUGAGAGGGUGUCCGGCCACACUGGAACUGAGACACGGUCCAGACUCCUACGGGAGGCAGCAGUGGGGAAUUUUGGGCAAUGGGGGAGACCCUGACCCAGCGACGCCGCGUGAGGGAAGAAGGCCUUAGGGUCGUAAACUUCUUUUGCAUGGGAAGAUAAUGACGGUACUGUGCGAAUAAGUCCCGGCUAACUACGUGCCAGCCGCCGCGGUAA